AACGAACGCUGGCGGCAUGCCUAACACAUGCAAGUCGAACGAGACCUUCGGGUCUAGUUCGCACGGGUGCGUAACGCGUGGGAACCUGCCCUUAGGUUCGGAAUAACUCCCCGAAAGGGGUGCUAAUACCGGAUAAUGUCUUCGGACCAAAGAUUUAUCGCCUUUGGAUUGGCCCGCGUUGGAUUAGCUAGUUGGUAGGGUAAAAGCCUACCAAGGCGCAGAUCCAUAGCUGGUCUGAGAGGAGGAUCAGCCACACUGGGACUGAGACACGGCCAAGACUCCGACGGAAGGGAGCAGGGGGGAAUAUGGGACAAGGGGCGAAAGCCUAAUCCAGCCAUGCCGCGUGAGUGAUGAAGGCGUUAGGGUUGUAAAGCUCUUUUACCCGGGAUGAUAAUGACAGUACCGGGAGAAUAAGCUCCGGCUAACUCCGUG
rnacentral:rRNA from 1 species